UACGAAGGGGGCUAGCGUUGCUCGGAAUCACUGGGCGUAAAGCGCACGUAGGCGGAUUGUUAAGUCAGGGGUGAAAUCCUGGAGCUCAACUCCAGAACUGCCUUUGAUACUGGCGAUCUUGAGUCCGGGAGAGGUGAGUGGAACUCCGAGUGUAGAGGUGAAAUUCGUAGAUAUUAGGAAGAACACCAGUGGCGAAGGCGGCUCACUGGUCCGGUACUGACGCUGAGGUGCGAAAGCGUGGGGAGCAAACAGG
rnacentral:rRNA from 1 species